AAUACAAAUGCAUAGUUAAGAAAAUUUCAUUGUUCUUCAAAACUUCUUGAUAGAUAAUAUAAGCAGACUUGAAGCUGAAACCGGACCACUCAUUCUCUUCCACCUGCUCCUCUGAAAGACUCAUCACUAUCCAGAACUUAGUUUUGGUGUUCCACGGAAUGCUGGCUCAACUGAGAUGAAACUGAAAUCUUGCUUUCUGUCUCAUACUAUUCAUGAGAUUCUUCUCCGAUGAUUCAACUGACACCAUAAUUGCAUUAAUCUUUUCUGGUUAUUUUGACAUUCAACUGCUUAAAUUAUUUUGUCAAGUUACAAAAUCCAAAUUGUGAAAUACUCUCAUAAAUGAAGAAGAAAAGGUCUGCAUUGCUGCCACACAGACUAACCACUACGGAGGAGUUACAUUGAUAUGCAUAUAUAAAAGCCAUCAAUUAUUGAUCAAUAUAAAAAAAGUAAGCAUAUAAAAUCCAGCCUAGAUAGCCAAUUCUGCAUACAAGCAAUACAACAAGCAAAGAAAGGCCAAAAACUGAAGAUACAGUACUCGUAUUUUUGUGAUUGAAAAAACAGUUCAUGAAUCAUCAUGAUAUACCCGAAACUCAGAAUUUUACAUAUACAACUAAAACCAAAGCAAAAUUUUUCUCACUUAAACCAAAACAAAGCAAUUAAAAUUUUUUUUUUUUUGCA
rnacentral:lncRNA from 1 species